rnacentral:rRNA from 1 species
AACGAACGCUGGCGGCAUGCCUAACACAUGCAAGUCGAACGAGACCUUCGGGUCUAGUGGCGCACGGGUGCGUAACGCGUGGGAACCUGCCCUUAGGUUCGGAAUAACUCCCCGAAAGGGGUGCUAAUACCGGAUAAUGUCUUCGGACCAAAGAUUUAUCGCCUUUGGAUGGGCCCGCGUUGGAUUAGCUAGUUGGUAGGGUAAAAGCCUACCAAGGCGACGAUCCAUAGCUGGUCUGAGAGGAUGAUCAGCCACACUGGGACUGAGACACGGCCCAGACUCCUACGGGAGGCAGCAGUGGGGAAUAUUGGACAAUGGGCGAAAGCCUGAUCCAGCAAUGCCGCGUGAGUGAGGAAUGCCUUAGGGUUGUAAAGCUCGUUUACCCGGGAUGAUAAUGACAGUACCGGGAGAAUAAGCUCCGGCUAACUCCGUG